UACGUAGGGGGCAAGCGUUGUCCGGAUUUAUUGGGCGUAAAGAGCGUGUAGGCGGCUAGAUAGGUCCGUUGUGAAAACUGGAGGCUCAACCUCCAGCUGUCGAUGGAAACCAUCUAGCUAGAGUCCGGAAGAGGAGAGUGGAAUUCCUGGUGUAGCGGUGAAAUGCGCAGAUAUCAGGAAGAACACCCGUGGCGAAGGCGGCUCUCUGGGCCGGUACUGACGCUGAGGCGCGAAAGCUAGGGGAGCAAACGGG
rnacentral:rRNA from 1 species